AGUGAACGCUGGCGGUAGGCCUAACACAUGCAAGUCGAACGGCAGCACAGUAAGAGCUUGCUCUUACGGGUGGCGAGUGGCGGACGGGUGAGGAAUACAUCGGAAUCUACUUUUUCGUGGGGGAUAACGUAGGGAGACUUACGCUACUACCGCAUACGACCUACGGGUGAAAGCAGGGGAUCUUCGGACCUUGCGCGAUUGAAUGAGCCGAUGUCGGAUUAGCUAGUUGGCGGGGUAAAGGCCCACCAAGGCGACGAUCCGUAGCUGGUCUGAGAGGAUGAUCAGCCACACUGGAACUGAGACACGGUCCAGACUCCUACGGGAGGCAGCAGUGGGGAAUAUUGGACAAUGGGCGCAAGCCUGAUCCAGCCAUACCGCGUGGGUGAAGAAGGCCUUCGGGUUGUAAAGCCCUUUUGUUGGGAAAGAAAAGCAGCAGGUUAAUACCCCGCUGUUCUGACGGUACCCAAAGAAUAAGCACCGGCUAACUUCGUG
rnacentral:rRNA from 1 species